rnacentral:hammerhead_ribozyme from 1 species
GCACCGCUGACGAGUCCGAAAACAGGACGAAACAGCUGUCCAGUGA